CAAGGUUGGAUGAAAUGAAGCCCUAAAUCUAGUGUCCUCUCACCUGGCUUCUGGUCCCCCUCUCAUCGCCUUGGCUCCAUCUCUUGUCGUUGGCCUUCUGGCUCACAUCGUCGACAUGGCCGUCCCGUCCCGUCCCGGCUGUCGCUGUCACCAUGGCUAAUGACCUUUUGAUCUCUUUGAUUCUUUUGAUCCUCUGAAGAAGGGUAAGUGGCAAAGAAAGUAUCGGUGGGAGUGAAGAUGUUGGGCAGAUUGCUGGGAAGCAACAAAUAGUAAUGGCGGGACUGGAUUACAUAAUUCGAGCUGCAAAUUAGGUCAAUGGUUGUAGAACUAGAAGGCAACUACUCGAAGCUAUGAUGGCCAUGCAAUGAAUAUACUGACAUUAUGGCCAGAUAUGCUUGUUCAAAUUCUAGCACUAUGCUUUUCCAUCAAGGAGGUGACCUUCCUAAUUGGUUACUGAUGCUGCUGCCAAAGCUGGCCUAGUGUUCUAGUCUUUUUCUUUUCUUUAGCUUAAGCUCAGUUUGUAAAAAAAAAA